rnacentral:rRNA from 1 species
CUUCGGGGGGGGCAGCAGUAGGGAAUUUUCCGCAAUGGGGGAAAGUCUGACGGAGCAACGCCGCGUGAGUGAUGAAGGUUUUCGGGUUGUAAAACUCUGUUGUUAGGGAAGAACAAGUACGAGAGUAACUGCUCGUACCUUGACGGUACCUAACCAGAAAGCCACGGCUAACUACGUGCCAGCAGCCGCGGUAAUACGUAGGUGGCAAGCGUUGUCCGGAAUUAUUGGGCGUAAAGCGCGCGCAGGCGGUCUUUUAAGUCUGAUGUGAAAGCCCCCGGCUCAACCGUGGAGGGUCAUUGGAAACUGGGGGACUUGAGUGCAGAAGAGAAGAGUGGAAUUCCACGUGUAGCGGUGAAAUGCGUAGAGAUGUGGAGGAACACCAGUGGCGAAGGCGACUCUUUGGUCUGUAACUGACGCUGAGGCGCGAAAGCGUGGGGAGCAAACAGGAUUAGAUACCCUGGUAGUCCACGCCGUAAACGAUGAGUGCUAAGUGUUAGAGGGUUUCCGCCCUUUAGUGCCGCAGCGAACGCAUUUAAAAA